AUGGUAGGAUAGAGGCCUACCAUGGUGGUAACGGGUAACGGGGUGUUAGGGCACGACACCGGAGAGGGAGCCUGAGAAACGGCUACCACAUCCAAGGAAGGCAGCAGGCGCGCAAAUUACCCAAUCCCGACACGGGGAGGUAGUGACAAUAAAUAACAAUACAGGGUUCUUUGAAUCUUGUAAUUGGAAUGAGUACAAUUUAAAUCUCUUAACGAGGAACAAUUGGAGGGCAAGUCUGGUGCCAGCAGCCGCGGUAAUUCCAGCUCCAAUAGCGUAUAUUAAAGUUGUUGCAGUUAAAAAGCUCGUAGUUGAAUUUCGGGAUCAAUACGUCGGUCGUGCUUUCGGGUACGUACUGGCGUCAUUGGUUUCUCCUUUCUGACGAACCAUGAUGUCAUUAAUUUGGUGUUAUGGGGAGUUAGGACUGUUACUUUGAAAAAAUUAGAGUGUUUAAAGCAGGCAUUAGCUUGAAUACAUUAGCAUGGAAUAAUGAAAUAGGACGUUCGAUCCUAUUUUGUUGGUUUCUAGGAUCAACGUAAUGAUUAAUAGGGAUAGUUGGGGGCAUUAGUAUUCAAUUGUCAGAGGUGAAAUUCUUGGAUUUAUUGAAGACUAACUACUGCGAAAGCAUUUGCCAAGGAUGUUUUCAUUAAUCAAGAACGAAAGUUAGGGGAUCGAAGACGAUCAGAUACCGUCGUAGUCUUAACCAUAAACUAUGCCGACUAGGGAUCGGAUGGUGUUAAUUUUUUAAUGACUCAUUCGGCGCCUUACGGGAAACCAAAG
rnacentral:rRNA from 1 species